GAGCCAUGAGGUCACGAUUGGCCUAUCCUGUCUAGAAGUACAGAAGUCUAACACCCAAGAAGUUUGCCAGCAUCGAGGACAACGCAGCCUGCAUGCUUGCGGGUUUGGUGCCAAGUUGUUUAAUCUCUCUAUGCUCAGUAGCAGCAGGAUGUGCUAUAUACAAGAUGCACCACCACUUUCUCAAACCACAAACGGUACCAUCUCUAAGGAUAAGGGCAACAGAGACAUGGGGAUACCACCAGCUGCAAGUUUCCCACCACACCACCUGACUUGGAAAUAUAUUGUCAUUCCUUCAGUGUGGCUGGGUCAGAAUCCUGGAACUGCCGAAUGGCAUUGUCAAUCAACCUGCAGCACAUAUAAUGAGGUGGUUCAAGAAGGCACCUCAUCACCAAUUUCUUGAGGGAAACUAGGGGUGCGCAAUAAAUACUGGCCCAGCCAUCAAUGCCCACAUCCCAGGAAUGGAUUUUUUUAGAAGGCUACAAGAAAGGCAUUGAUUCCCUGUAUUUCCAUGGGCACCGGAAUCACACUGACAUCUCAACAAUGGCCAUUCUUAGUGUAUGAAUCUUGACAGAAUCUGAUGUGGAUGGUGGAUUCGAGUGCAGGCGCUGUCCUCCCCAGCCCCAAGAGACCACGUUGGGACAGUUCCACCAUGACUCAAUUCGAGAGGAAACACGAGGAGUUCCCCUUUGUCAAACCAGACAGUGAAGAUCACAAGUGGUAUCGCUGAAGAGGACUGAUCAAGCUCCAGCUGAAAGGAAUAAUUUCACUGACCAACUAAACACACAGUGUCACUGUCACUGGGGGUAAAGACCCACUACUGAGAGGACUUAGGUAUGGGGUCCACUACUUUCGCCCCCAUUUGCAGCUGUGUACUUGUGACCCAUGCUGCCCUGGCUAAGGGAAAGGUGAAAGGGUAUACCGCUCCUCAGCUUUUAUUGGUUAAAACACUUGGCGACGAUUAAAGGCUGUGAAGAGGAGAGCGUGGACAUGGUCUUCCAUUGAGGUGUGCUUCAUUGAAGGACUGCACAGACAUUUCUAUGUAUUUUCCUCUGGAUUUGGUGUCGAUUUUAAAACAAAAAUGGUUACCACUUUUCAGAAUCUGUUGCCAGGAGGCAAAAGAUGGUUGGUCCAAAGGUGGCAUGUGUUGAUGUAAAUUGUUAAUUGGAUUAGACUCCUACACAUUAACCAUCCCCAUAUGUAGAAGGGUUCCUUCAUGGUAGCUAGAUCCAAACAGAGUGCAAGUAUCUGAUCUAUGAACAGGGACAGUACUUGGUCUUGGAGCUGUCCACUGAUGAAUGCACAGUGAUCACAAUUCCUUUGGAACUGAAGUUUGCUACAAGACAUGGACAACAUGCAGGCUGGGCCUUAAAAUACCAAAGAGAACCCAAGCUGUGACUGUCACCAAGAAGAUUCAAUCUGAUCAGCCCCAUUGAAAUGGUAUUACCAUCCAUCAUCAUGGCUGUUCCCCAUUGACUGACCACUUGAAUGGCUGCAGGAACAGGUUUGGAGCUGAGUAUUGUACAGUGAGUGGCUGACUUCCUGAGUGCACACUGCCUUUCUAGCACCGGAGGAAAUAUGCCAGGAGUCGAUACUCUGCACAGGUCAGAAUGUGUGCAGCUGUCACAGGGCUCAAAUAAGAACGCAGUCAUCUCCUCGAUCAGUGCAUCGUCCAUCUCCUUUGAAGUCAAAUGUUUAUCCAGACUUGAGCAUGUAAUCUGUUUUUUUUCACAUCUAGAACUCACUGCUUGAAGCAUCACCAGCUGGACUGCUGUGGUUCAACAGGAAGGCCUCAGGAUAGGAAAACAAAAUGGUCAGCCCUGCCAGUGAAGUCCACAUCCCAAACAAUCAAACUGGACCUGUACAAAUUGACACACUCUGCACUAUAAUUGGAGCCAAAGACUUUUUUUAUUGACUAUGUGUUAAUAAGUGUUUUAUUUCCUGAGACAUUUUCUAAAGAAUUAGAGACCUACAAAACAGAAAGUACUUCUAACUUCAGUGGUAUAUAAAGCUAUAUUCCAGUAACCUUAGGUCACACAAAUGCAACAGGCCUGGAACCCUCUCUUUGUGUUCGCUUUUAUCUUUAAUCUGGGUUUUUCUGUGCAGCUCCUAACUUCUUGUGGUGGUGACUGUCAUCUGCAACAAUAGUUUCCGUAUUUUUAUCCCAUGUUGCAGUGUAUUUACUGAAUUGUCUUCAGAACAAUGACUGUGGCAUCAAACAAUUGUGCUGCAAAGUUUGUGAAUUCAUGUUGAACAUGCUGAAGGGAACAUAUUAGAAAAGACCUGAAUAUUAUCCUCAAUA